UGGGGAAUCUUGCGCAAUGCGCGAAAGCGUGACGCAGCAACGCCGCGUGGGGGAAGAAGGCCUUCGGGUUGUAAACCCCUUUCAGUUGGGACGAAGGUCCUGCCGUUAAUAGCGGUCUGGACUGACGGUACCUUCACAAGAAGCCCCGGCUAACUACGUGCCAGCAGCCGCGGUAAUACGUAGGGGGCAAGCGUUGUCCGGAAUCAUUGGGCGUAAAGAGCGUGUAGGCGGCCCGAUAAGUCCGCCGUGAAAGCCCAGGGCUCAACCCUGGGAUGCCGGUGGAUACUGUCGGGCUAGAGUUCGGAAGAGGCAAGUGGAAUUCCUGGUGUAGCGGUGAAAUGCGCAGAUAUCAGGAGGAACACCUAUGGCGAAGGCAGCUUGCUGGGACGACACUGACGCUGAGACGCGAAAGCGUGGGGAGCAAACAG
rnacentral:rRNA from 1 species